AUGCAGUCCACUUGUACUCUAUUGUUCGGUCCCACUGCCGACAGUAAUCAGGGCCGUUAUGGAGUACAGCUGCUGAUGGAGGACUUUCCCAGGAAGAACAUCACCAUGACUGGAUUCAAUGACACAAAAACAAUAUUAACACCUAACGAUGCUCUCAGCAAAGUACCGAUCCAGUUUGUUCUGAUAGUGGAUCCCCAGGUCUCAUCCUGCACAGAGGGAGACUUUUUGCCCAAAUUCUUGCCUCCAACCCCAGCCAACAGAGCUCGGCUCUACACCCCUGUUAAUAAGACUCUGGAAAUCAGCAUCAGUGCUGAGGCAAAAAACUCCACGAUCUCUGAGCUGCUGUUCAGCGGACCGUAUGAUGCAGUUCAGAAUAAAACUGGAACAGGAACGUUCACCCUGAGAUGGACGCCGUCUAAAUCACAAGACAAUGACACCCUCCCCUUCUGCUUUGUUGUCCAGGCACUUUCCAACAUAACCAAGUAUCACUCAGACCUUCGAUGUGUCAGCGUGACUGUUGGAAAUGGUCCUGUUAGUAGUGCCCCAGCUAGUGCUUCAACUUUUGUCCUGGUCAUGGGAUCUUUCCUUUCAACUCUUAUUCUUGCCUUCCCUUCCAUAUGAAUAUGGAUAAAAUCAGAG
rnacentral:lncRNA from 1 species